rnacentral:misc_RNA from 1 species
AGUCGUAACAAGGUUUCCGUAGGUGAACCUGCGGAAGGAUCAUUAACACGUAUCCACGUAUCAACCAACUGCGCACUUGUUCUCACCUCUCCCUGCGCGUCGCACAUGAGUCGGCAACGACUGUAGUACGGCGCGCAGGCAUAACCCGUCUGCUCACCGACCUUCGGGAACGUGGCGGAUAAUAACACAAAUUUCACACCUUUUUUGCUAGUUGACUUUUAUAUGUUGUCUUAUGACGUACUUCGGUAUGCUAUAAUUCACACGUUUAUUAUUUGAACGUUAAAUUUACAACUCUUAGCAAUGGAUAUCUUGGUUCUC